AGUGAAUGCUGGCGGUAGGCCUAACACAUGCAAGUCGAACGGCAGCACAGUAAGAGCUUGCUCUUACGGGUGGCGAGUGGCGGACGGGUGAGGAAUACAUCGGAAUCUACUUUUUCGUGGGGGAUAACGUAGGGAAACUUACGCUAAUACCGCAUACGACCUACGGGUGAAAGCAGGGGAUCUUCGGACCUUGCGCGAUUGAAUGAGCCGAUGUCGGAUUAGCUAGUUGGCGGGGUAAAGGCCCACCAAGGCGACGAUCCGUAGCUGGUCCGAGAGGAUGAUCAGCCACACUGGAACUGAGACACGGUCCAGACUCCUACGGGAGGCAGCAGUGGGGAAUAUUGGACAAUGGGCGCAAGCCUGAUCCAGCCAUACCGCGUGGGUGAAGAAGGCCUUCGGGUUGUAAAGCCCUUUUGUUGGGAAAGAAAAGCAGCAGGUUAAUACCCCGCUGUUCUGACGGUACCCAAAGAAUAAGCACCGGCUAACUUCGUG
rnacentral:rRNA from 1 species